GAUGAACGCUAGCGGCAGGCAUAAUACAUGCAAGGCGAAGGGGCAGCAAUGUCACUGUCGUACGGGUGCGUAACGCGUAUGCAACCUACCUAUCACUGGGGGAUAGCACGGGGAAACCUGGAUUAAUACCGCAUAAAACAGGGGCACCGCAUGGUGAUAUUUGGUAAAGAUUUAUUGGUGAUAGAUGGGAAUGUGUUCGAUUAGCUAGUUGGCGGGGUAACGGCCCACCAAGGCGACGAUCGAUAGGGGAGCUGAGGGGUUGGUCCCCCACACGGGCACUGAGAUACGGGCACGACUCCUACGGGAGGCAGCAGUAGGGAAUAUUGGGCAAUGGAUGCAAGUCUGACCCAGCCAUGCCGCGUGCCGGAUGAAGGCCCUCAGGGUUGUAAACGGCUUUUAUUCGGGAAGAAGAGCAGGGAUGCGUCCUUGUGUGACGGUACCGAAUGAAUAAGCACCGGCUAACUCCGUGCCAGCCGCCGCAGUAAAAC
rnacentral:rRNA from 1 species